AAUUAGUUGGAAGGGGAAAGGGUUCUUCAAACCCUUGUUCUUCAAAGUUCUACUAUCAAUUGAAUCGGUGGAGAUUGAGAGGCAAACAUGGUAGUCUUGAAGCCCUUUGGAGUGUGGCCUUGAGGUUGGUGAUAUUGUUGUCUAUUGCUGUGGAUUGGCCUCGAGUUCUCUGGGCUUAUAAGGAGGUUGCCCUGUUGCUGGGUGGGCUCUGAGUUAUCACUUUUAGUUGCUGCUAAAUGGAGCAAGGAUCAUGACAUGGCAGCAGUGUUCACUGGAAUCUGUGUCAAUGGCUGAGGGUGGUCUGAGCAUGGUUGCUGCUGUGAUGGUCUCUGGUGUGCUAUGUUGUUGGCAUCUCAUUCUCGUGUAUAUGCUAGUUGUUCAGUCACAAUGUGAUGAGAUAUGCUUGCUACUUGGAUUGGAUGUCUACAUUUUUCAGAUUCUUCUCUAUUGUCAUGGUUAACAACUCUGGAGUGCAGUGUAGUGGAUUGGGGUUUUUCUUGAUAGGAGGGUUUUGUUCUACAUUCUUCCAAUUUUCUCAUUUGUUUUACUUUACUCCAAUCUUCCACAUAAGGUUGAUUUUGGCGAAUGUUUCUGAGUUUACAACAAUCCAAAUAUCACUGUGCACUUCAAUACAGAGACUCUGGAUAUUGUUAGCAAUACGAAAGGGCAAAUGUCUGGCAUUUUGGUUAGAAAAGUUGACACUGGGGACGAGUCUAUGCUUGAGGCAAAAGGCUUAUUCUAUGGGAUAGGUCAUUCACCAAAUAGCCAAUUUUUGGAAGGCCAAAUUCAACUUGACAGCUAAGGUUAUGUAUUGGUGGAGGAGGGUACUGCAAAAACUUCUAUUGAAGGUGUAUUUGUUGCCGGAGAUGUACAGUUUCUCGGUCUUCAUAUAGGAUCAUGAAUGGAGGAAAGCCAUAACUGCAGCAAGUUUAGGAUGCAUUGCUGCUUUAUCAGUUGAGAGAUAUCUUGCGAGCAAUAAACUUCUUGUUGAAUUUCACCAGGGAAGAAGUGCAGAUUCAUUGUCUCAGUAUUUUGGGGAUCCAGCUAGGUGCCCUUUUGAAAAAGGUUUUGGAGUUGGGGAUGAAUUUUCGUACUGCAGAUGAUAUGAGUGCAAUACUUGCCAGAAGAGAAUGGGUUGCGGAAUGUAGGUGAAGUUGCAUCUGUCAGGCAUGCAUCUUGAAGGAAAGUUUUGCUUAACACUUGCAAAAGAGUAGUUGUACAUAUAUUCAAAUGCUUUCAAAUGCAAUGCACUCAUCUUAACUUCUAAGUGAAAGACAAUGGACUAUUUAAGUAGUUGUUGAAUGCCCAAAUUCUCUAUUUCUCUUCAAGAUGACAUCAAUUGUUGCCCGAACAUGAGUUCUUACCUUGCAUCAUGAAUGACAGAUUUAUCAUAUUCCAUCACCGAGACUUGUUUUAAGGAAGGAAAAUUUUGGCCAGAUAGCCGAAGUUAGGCUUGUUAUGGAUGAAAAGAUGAAGAGGUCAAAGGGGUAUGCUUUUAUUCAGUACACUAAUCAAGACGAUGCCCUGCUAGCUCUAGAAAGCAUGGAUCAUAAGGGAUGGCUUUAAAAUGGGAAUAUUGCUGCAAUAAAGGUUCUUUCACCUGAAUCAAAACAGGGAGUGAAGGAGUUCUUGACAGAGAUUAGAGUGAUUUCAGAUAUAGAGCACAAAAUUUAGUCAAGCUCUAUGGCUGUUGCGUGGAUGAAGAUCAUAGAAUUCUGUCUGCAACUACCUUGAGAAUAGCAGCCUUGCGGAAACACUUAUUGGUGGAAGUUACAGUAGCAUCCAGUUUAGUUGGCGAACACGAACUAAAAUUUGCGCUGGGAUUGCAUGGGGACUUGCCAUUCUUCAUGAGGAAAUGCGACCACAUAUCGUUCAUCGAGAUAUCAAAGCUAGCAAUAUUCUCCUCGACAAAGACUUGACACCCAAAAUUUCAGAUUUUGGUCUACCAAAACUUAUCCCAGCCAACAUGACUCAUGUCAGUACUCGUGUGGCAGAAACGAUAGCACUGGUGGCUGAUGGUUGUUGCUUGUUGGUCUGCUGUCGGUGUGCUACUGCAGAAUUUUGCUGAGCUGCUGCUGCAAUGUUGCUGUGAAGCAGUGGUCUGCUGCAAAUUUGGGUUGUUAGUUUCAUGUUUUCAUUUUUUUAUCUACUGCUUUUACUAUGGGUUCACAAAUUGGAUGUAUUUGAGUAUUUUAGUGAGUUUACCCUUUCAGGUUUUAUACACCGCUUCCAAAAGCAUAUUUUUCAGCAGUGUUUUUUUGCCUACACAUCAACUUUAGGUGAUUUAAUAUCAAUGUUAUUAGUUUGUAAUAGUAAUACCUGAGGGAUGCCUCUUGUAAAUAUGUAAAUCUUAUAAAAAAAUAUAAAUGAUUUUCAAUU